AAUUUUUUAAAUGUUUUCAACACAUCAGCAUGAAGCAUCGACCUAGUUGGAAUCACUUAGAUCUAAAGCAAAUGCACUGAUUGUUUUCACAGCAGGCUUUUCUUCUUGGAGCUGAAACAGGCGCACUGGCGAGGGUUGUGAGGAAAGGUUUGCAGCCCCCUGCCUUGGUCUGCUAUAGCCAGUGACACGAUCAAUACCAGGGUGAGCAGCAGAGGAAGCUCAGGGAAGAUUAUGAAGAUGAGAAUUCAUUACCUAUCAAAGAAAAUGCGUAAACUCUAGAAGUAUUGCUUGCUCCUUUGCCACAAAGUGUACAUUCAAGAGUAAAUUGUUUAAAGCCAAAGGAAUUUGCCUGAGUUCUGAUCAAUGCUAAAAACACCAUUUAACAGUGCCCUUUCCUGCCUGGGAAGCCCACAAAGAUUUCGCUUUUCACUUAUUACUCAUCAAACUGACUCUGGUUCACAGUGGAAAAGAGAAGAAAAGCUGAUGGAGAAAUGGCAGUGAAGAAGGAGAACAAAAUGUCAGAGCAAUACUUUUGAGCGACUAUAUCCUUUUCAUUAAAGGUGUCAACACGUUUAUUUGCAUCUUUGACCCUAGGACUAGGGAAGUGCUGGAAAUUAUGUGGGUACUUUUUCCCAUGGGAAAAAUGUACCUCCUGGGUCGGGGGAAGGCUGAAAAUAGGUGAAAGUGAGAAUACUCAGUUGAUCUUCAAUUUUUUUUGUCUUAUAAUUAAAAAAGUGCUGUUGAAAGGAAUAGGGUUGCAUUUCACCUAGAAUCAGUGCCAAGUAUCAACAGCUAAUGUCUGUCUUUUGAAGAAAGAAUCUUUCAUACCAUGGGGGUUUUAAAGCUACUGAUAAAACAAAAAGCUAUUUUCUGAAGACCAGCCAACCUGAAAAACAAGUGUUUUAAAACCUAGAGAAUUUCCUUUAAUGUAAAUAAUCAAAGAUGUUUUCAAUUAUUUUGCUAUUACUUACAUACAAUGGUUUUACGUUUAUGAGAAGUGCUAUCCCUGAAAUAACAAUAAUAUGAUCAUUUAUAAGUGGGGUGUGGAAAAAUAACACAAGCAUACAGAAAACCAGGAAGGAAUUUUUCCAGUAAAAAUUAAGCAAUAUUCACCACAAUUGGCUCACAUUGUGGAACUGGGAAGAACAAGAAAAUAAUAAAAAGAAAAAUAAAUCUUUACUGAAAUGUAGUGAUAGUGUUUCACUCGCAACCGCUUCUUCAAAUUGAGAUGCAGAAGAAAUGUGUAAAAAGCAAAACUGGUACAAAUCUUGAUUACAAUUUUGGAUCAGUUUAAGACAAUAUGGCUCAACAGAGCAAUUUACAUAGGCUAACAGAGCAAACUUGAGUUGGUAAUUUACUUUAUUGGAUACACAUUUCACCUACAAAAAAAAAAAAAGAAAGGAGGGAGGCAGGAACAA
rnacentral:lncRNA from 1 species